GGGGAAUAUUGGGCAAUGGGCGAAAGCCUGACCCAGCAACGCCGCGUGAAGGAAGAAGGCCUUCGGGUUGUAAACUUCUUUUAAGAGGGACGAAGAAGUGACGGUACCUCUUGAAUAAGCCACGGCUAACUACGUGCCAGCAGCCGCGGUAAUACGUAGGUGGCGAGCGUUAUCCGGAUUUACUGGGUGUAAAGGGCGCGUAGGCGGGAAUGCAAGUCAGAUGUGAAAUCCAGGGGCUUAACCCUUGAACUGCAUUUGAAACUGUAUUUCUUGAGUGUCGGAGAGGCAAGCGGAAUUCCUAGUGUAGCGGUGAAAUGCGUAGAUAUUAGGAGGAACACCAGUGGCGAAGGCGGCUUGCUGGACGACAACUGACGCUGAGGCGCGAAAGCGUGGGGAGCAAACAGGAUUAGAUACCCUGGUAGUCCAUGCCGUAAACGAUGAUUACUAGGUGUUGGAGGAUUGACCCCUUCAGUGCCGCAGUUAACACAAUAAGUAAUCCACCUGGGGAGUACGACCGCAAGGUUGAAACUCAAAGGAAUUGACGGGGGCCCGCACAAGCAGUGGAGUAUGUGGUUUAAUUCGAAGCAACGCGAAGAACCUUACCAGGUCUUGACAUCCGAUGCAUAGUGCAGAGAUGCAUGAAGUCCUUCGGGACAUCGAGACAGGUGGUGCAUGGUUGUCGUCAGCUCGUGUCGUGAGAUGUUGGGUUAAGUCCCGCAACGAGCGCAACCCCUAUCCUUAGUAGCCAGCAGUAAGAUGGGCACUCUAGGGAGACUGCCAGGGAUAACCUGGAGGAAGGUGGGGAUGACGUCAAAUCAUCAUGCCCCUUAUGACUUGGGCUACACACGUGCUACAAUGGCGUAAACAAAGUGAAGCGAAGUCGUGAGGCCAAGCAAAUCACAAAAAUAACGUCUCAGUUCGGAUUGUAGUCUGCAACUCGACUACAUGAAGCUGGAAUCGCUAGUAAUCGCAGAUCAGAAUGCUGCGGUGAAUACGUUCCCG
rnacentral:rRNA from 1 species